UGGGGCGUGGUGAAGCGGUAACACAGCGGACUUUGGAUCCGCCAUGCGGAGGUUCGAAUCCUCCCGCCCCAGCCA
rnacentral:tRNA from 1 species